GAUGAACGCUAGCGGCAGGCCUAACACAUGCAAGUCGAGGGGGAAGUUACUUUCGGGUGACUGAGACCGGCGUACGGGUGCGUAACGCGUAUACAAUCUGCCUUUCACUGGGGGAUAGCCCGAAGAAAUUUGGAUUAAUACCCCAUAGUAUAUAGGGACGGCAUCGUUUUUAUAUUAAAGCUUAGGUGGUGAAAGAUGAGUAUGCGUUCUAUUAGCUAGUUGGAGAGGUAACGGCUCCCCAAGGCGAUGAUAGAUAGGGGUUCUGAGAGGGAUGUCCCCCACACUGGUACUGAGAUACGGACCAGACUCCUACGGGAGGCAGCGGUGAGGAAUAUUGGACAAUGGUCGGAAGACUGAUCCAGCCAUGCCGCGUGCAGGAUGAAGGUCUUAUGGAUUGUAAACUGCUUUUGUAAGGGAAGAAUAAGGGCUACGCGUAGUUUGAUGACGGUACCUUACGAAUAAGCAUCGGCUAACUCCGUG
rnacentral:rRNA from 1 species